AGUGGCGGACGGGUGAGUAAUGUAUAGGGAUCUGCCUGACAGUGGGGGACAACAGCCGGAAACGGCUGCUAAUACCGCAUACGCUCUACGGAGGAAAGUGGGGGACCUUCGGGCCUCACGCUGACAGAUGAACCUAUAUCAGAUUAGCUAGUUGGUGGGGUAAAGGCCUACCAAGGCGACGAUCUGUAGCUGGUCUGAGAGGAUGAUCAGCCACACUGGGACUGAGACACGGCCCAGACUCCUACGGGAGGCAGCAGUGGGGAAUAUUGGACAAUGGGGGCAACCCUGAUCCAGCAAUGCCGCGUGUGUGAAGAAGGCCUUCGGGUUGUAAAGCACUUUCAAUAGGGAGGAAAAGCUGUGCGUUAAUAGCGUACAGCCGUGACGUUACCUAUAGAAGAAGCACCGGCUAACUCCGUGCCAGCAGCCGCGAUAAUACGGAGGGUGCAAGCGUUAAUCGGAAUUACUGGGCGUAAAGCGCGCGUAGGCGGUUUGUUAAGUCAGAUGUGAAAUCCCCGGGCUCAACCUGGGAAUGGCAUUUGAGACUGGCAGGCUAGAAUGUGGUAGAGGUGAGUGGAAUUCCAGGUGUAGCGGUGAAAUGCGUAGAGAUCUGGAGGAACAUCAGUGGCGAAGGCGACUCACUGGGCCAUUAUUGACGCUGAGGUGCGAAAGCGUGGGUAGCAAACAGGAUUAGAUACCCUGG
rnacentral:rRNA from 1 species